GGACGGAGAAGGCUAUGUUGGCCGGGCGACGGUUGUCCCGGUUUAAGCGUGUAGGCUGGUUUUCCAGGCAAAUCCGGAAAAUCAAGGCUGAGGCGUGAUGACGAGGCACUACGGUGCUGAAGCGACAAAUGCCCUGCUUCCAGGAAAAGCCUCUAAGCAUCAGGUAACAUCAAAUCGUACCCCAAACCGACACAGGUGGUCAGGUAGAGAAUACCAAGGCGCUUGAGAGAACUCGGGUGAAGGAACUAGGCAAAAUGGUGCCGUAACUUCGGGAGAAGGCACGCUGAUAUGUAGGUGAAGCGACUUGCUCGUGGAGCUGAAAUCAGUCGAAGAUACCAGCUGGCUGCAACUGUUUAUUAAAAACACAGCACUGUGCAAACACGAAAGUGGACGUAUACGGUGUGACGCCUGCCCGGUGCCGGAAGGUUAAUUGAUGGGGUUAGCGGUAACGCGAAGCUCUUGAUCGAAGCCCCGGUAAACGGCGGCCGUAACUAUAACGGUCCUAAGGUAGCGAAAUUCCUUGUCGGGUAAGUUCCGACCUGCACGAAUGGCGUAAUGAUGGCCAGGCUGUCUCCACCCGAGACUCAGUGAAAUUGAACUCGCUGUGAAGAUGCAGUGUACCCGCGGCAAGACGGAAAGACCCCGUGAACCUUUACUAUAGCUUGACACUGAACAUUGAGCCUUGAUGUGUAGGAUAGGUGGGAGGCUUUGAAGUGUGGACGCCAGUCUGCAUGGAGCCGACCUUGAAAUACCACCCUUUAAUGUUUGAUGUUCUAACGUGGGCCCCUUACCGGGGUUGCGGACAGUGUCUGGUGGGUAGUUUGACUGGGGCGGUCUCCUCCUAAAGAGUAACGGAGGAGCACGAAGGUUGGCUAAUCCUGGUCGGACAUCAGGAGGUUAGUGCAAUGGCAUAAGCCAGCUUGACUGCGAGCGUGACGGCGCGAGCAGGUGCGAAAGCAGGUCAUAGUGAUCCGGUGGUUCUGAAUGGAAGGGCCAUCGCUCAACGGAUAAAAGGUACUCCGGGGAUAACAGGCUGAUACCGCCCAAGAGUUCAUAUCGACGGCGGUGUUUGGCACCUCGAUGUCGGCUCAUCACAUCCUGGGGCUGAAGUAGGUCCCAAGGGUAUGGCUGUUCGCCAUUUAAAGUGGUACGCGAGCUGGGUUUAGAACGUCGUGAGACAGUUCGGUCCCUAUCUGCCGUGGGCGCUGGAGAACUGAGGGGGGCUGCUCCUAGUACGAGAGGACCGGAGUGGACGCAUCACUGGUGUUCGGGUUGUCAUGCCAAUGGCACUGCCCGGUAGCUAAAUGCGGAAGAGAUAAGUGCUGAAAGCAUCUAAGCACGAAACUUGCCCCGAGAUGAGUUCUCCCUGACUCCUUGAGAGUCCUGAAGGAACGUUGAAGACGACGACGUUGAUAGGCCGGGUGUGUAAGCGCAGCGAUGCGUUGAGCUAACCGGUACUAAUGAACCGUGAGGCUUAACCUUACAACGCCGAAG
rnacentral:rRNA from 1 species